GAGUGGACACGUCAGCCAUGUGUCCUGUUGGUUCCUGUGAGUAUGGUGUUGUAGAGGCGUGCGGCUGCAGAGAUUGCCGGGUCGAGCCGAGGUUGUCUGCUGAGAUGAAAGAUGGCACGGUGACGGCGCACGGGGACGAUCGCCCCGCAUGACACGCACAUGUGGCCGUCCGCUCUCUCAUUCGCUCCCGAAAUGGUCUCUGGCUCUGCUAAUUUACAUAAUACACUUCUGACACCUUUACUUCGUUCAUCAAUCACAGUAUCUUCUCCUGGUCCGGCUUUGGUACGGCAUGUCGCAUCUCCAUCAGGCACAAAAGAUUCAUUUCACAGUUUUUUUUCUUUUCUUUUUCUCCAUUGCUUUUUUUCUCACCCUACCCUUUUCUUUUCUCUCUUUCAUUUCAAAGAUACAAAGCUUAUGAAAUGACAGAAGCCAGAUAAUGAAAACAACAAUGCAAGCAAUUUUUACUCCCGCCGUGGUUCACAUUCCUGGAUUUUCUCUCCUGUUUUAUUUUUUUCUUCUAUUCUGUACUUCUUUCUUCUUGUUCUCUCUCUCUUUCCUGUCCUCCCUUCCUCCCCUUUAUUGUACUUCUACCAUCUGUCUGGAGUUCACACUCCUCUCCUCUUCUUUCCUCUGUAUCCUCUUCACAAUGCCUGGUCCACCUAGCAAAUUCCAUCUCCAUCCCUCGGUACCAGCUGUCAUACAAACCAACUGCUCCUCUACAUAUGCUUACAAUCCCUAAACUCAAUUUGGUGUCUAGCUCCUCUUUUAUACUGCUGUGUCUGCUGUCUAAUGUUUGCUAUAAUAAUAGCUUUUCCCCCCCAAAACAGCUCCUUUGAAAACAAAAUAAUUAACAUAUUUUCUGUUGAUCUGGUUGCAAUAUAUUCCACUUUCAUAUGACCCAAGAAGCUAUUAUGAUUAUAAUAGAGGCCAUUAAAAUAAUAAAAAAAACACAUGCAUCACUACCUCCCCCGCAGUAUCUUAUUUGUCUGUCAAAGUUGUUCAUAAAGCAACACACAAGAAUCAGGUUUGAUAAAACACUCAUGCAGUAUUUGUAAUUGUAUUUUAAAUCAUGUAUGUCUAUUAAAUCAUUGUGUUUGUUUAGAACAUGAAAAUAACUCAAAA